rnacentral:rRNA from 1 species
UUGCUAUAAUUGUCAGCUAAGUGGCGCACGGGUGAGUAAUGUAUAGAUAACCUGCCCUUAAGAAAGGAAUAACAGUUGGAAACGACUGCUAAUGCCCUAUAUGCCUUUAAUACAUAAGUAUGCAAGGGAAACGCUUUAGUGCUUAAGGAUGGGUCUGUAUGGUAUCAGCUUGUUGGUGAGGUAAUGGCUCACCAAGGCUAUGACGCCUAACUGGUUUGAGAGGAUGAUCAGUCACACUGGAACUGAGACACGGUCCAGACUCCUACGGGAGGCAGCAGUGGGGAAUAUUGCACAAUGGACGAAAGUCUGAUGCAGCAACGCCGCGUGGAGGAUGACACAUUUCGGUGCGUAAACUCCUUUUAUAUAGGAAGAUAAUGACGGUACUAUAUGAAUAAGCACCGGCUAACUCCGUGCCAGCAGCCGCGGUAAUACGGAGGGUGCAAGCGUUACUCGGAAUCACUGGGCGUAAAGAGCGUGUAGGCGGGUAUAUAAGUCAGAAGUGAAAUCCAAUAGCUCAACUAUUGAACUGCUUUUGAAACUGUAUACCUAGAAUGUGGGAGAGGUAGAUGGAAUUUCUGGUGUAGGGGUAAAAUCCGUAGAGAUCAGAAGGAAUACCGAUUGCGAAGGCGAUCUACUGGAACAUUAUUGACGCUGAGACGCGAAAGCGUGGGGAGCAAACAGGAUUAGAUACCCUGGUAGUCCACGCCCUAAACGAUGUACACUAGUUGUUGUGAGGCUCGACCUUGCAGUAAUGCAGUUAACACAUUAAAGUGUACCGCCUGGGGAGUACGGUCGCAAAGA